UGUUGGUUGAUUAGUUCAGAUCAGGAAGGGUGUGAGGUGGUUGAAUGGGGUAUAAUAAGAAAUGAAUUCAUUGGGCCUAAUGUGGUUUCAAACCCACGUCCAAACCAAGCCAAGGAGGGAGCAUAGUCAAACUCAUUUCGUGUUUCAUUUCACAUUCCUGUUGCAAACUAGUCACCUGAGCCAAUAACCCUGUUGCGCCGGAAAUUGCCUCUGGCGACGACGAAGGUCCAACCACCCUAUAACCUACAUCAUUAUGUUCGUCUCCUUUCCCUCCUUCAAAAACUUCACUUUGUUUCCUCUAAUUCCUCAUCCAAAAUUAAAAUCGAAUCAAACACCGCGUGAACCCUAAUUUUCCAAAUCCAAAUUAAACAUUAUACACGCCUAAUUCAGACUUAAGACCUUAGAGUUAUGGCUCCCUGGUAUUCAAACUACAAUCUGGUAACAAUUAAUCGAAGGCAAUCAAGAGAAGUGGAAGAGGAGCUUACCUUCAGAGCGGUGGCUUUCUUUGAACGUCAUUGUAAUGAAGAAGAUGAAAACAAAUGAGAAUUCCAGAGAAAGCUUCACUGAGAUAAUUAAAUUGAAAUCCUAAUCCAAUGAAAUCUUCUUGUUUUUCUCGUGUCUUAUUUUGUAGGUUUGAGUCGUUGUUAUUGUGGCUUUUGCGUUGCGCGAGAGUGAGCUUGGAGAGGAAUCUCAGAGUGUUUGAGAGUGUUCAAAGAGAUACUCAGAGAGAGUAGAGUGAUGGAGAAGGGAAAAACCAGAGAGAAUUGAGAGAAUUCUGGAGAAUUUGCAGUGUGUUUGAAGUUGUGAUUUUUAGUGAUUUGUGGCAAUGACUGGUGAUCAAUGAUUGAAGAGCUUUGAAGAUUAUAUAGAGAAUUGAGUUGUAACAGAAUGGGCAGAGUUCGGGUAAUGGUUCUUAUCCAUUAGGGCAGUUAAGGCACGAUUAGAUUAAAUGGAGAGUUGGUUAGAAAUGAUUGACAUUGUUAGUCUUAUGUUAGGUUCAGUUAAGAGCUUGCAUUGGUGUGGAAUCAACUUAACACUGUGAAACCAUUCUGUUAAAUGCAGUUUUAUCAUAACAAGGCUUGGAGGGUGCAUCCUUGGCCAUGAAUUCAAGACAUGGUUCAUGAAGACAAGGGCCAAAGUUGGCAUAGGACAAAGAGGUUUUUGGACAAACAUCAAAGAUCACGAUGCCUUGAAGGUUUUGGGGACUCAGAUAAUGGGAUGGCUUGUGGAAGAAGUAGGAUAUGAAUUACGGUUAAAAUUUAGUUAGUUGACUUUGAUCAACUAUUUGACCAAAAAGUCAACAGCUGACCAAAAGUAAAACCUAGGUAAAACAUGCAAUUUUUGUAUGAAAUUUGAUUCUUGACUUUGUAAUGGAGACUUGAAGGUUUUGUAAUGACUUUGGAAUUUUUUGUAAUCAAAAUGGCUUUGAAUAA